UUACGAAAGCCUAAAAUAUGUUUAUUCUUACAGCAGAAGGCUUUUUUUUUGAAUUUUUGAAUUUUUGAAACCAUAACACACGAUUGAUCGCAACAUACAUAUACGAAAUAUAGAAGAGAGACUGAAUUCAAACGAAAACAAUAUAGCAAGAUAUCAGAUUAUUGAGCAGCAGAAGAAAGGGAAAUAAAGCAAGUAAAUACUAUUUUACUAAAAAUCAAACGAAUCUCUAAAAGAACAGAUAUUUCACGCAUAGUUAACAGACAAUGCAUAACAAAAAAUUCAAAAUCGAGAAAAACAAGAAUCAAGAGCAACUGGUAAUGCUAAUUUUUGAUAGUUAUAUGAGCCGUAGUAUGAUAAAAAACCCCGGCGAUAAUUGAGGAAAUUCAUUGCUGAUGUACGACUCUUUUCUAUCUAGGAAAUAAUGAUUGUUUGAAGGAUAACCUGAAUAUAGGGCUUUCUGUUCAUUCAAAGAUCCCUUCAGGAAGUGUUAAAUGGUUUGUAUAAAACUAACUCACAUUUUCCGAUUUAUCUUUUCAUUUUCAGGGCAUAUAUCAGAACUUAAAACAAUUUACUAGUAGCGAUACGCUACCACUUACUU